GUUUAUUCCUAUGUUUGAUUUGAUCAGUAUUUCUUGGAGGUUUUUUAAAAUUAACUGUGAUGUGCAACAACUGAAAAAUAAGUGUUGCAGGGUUUCUAUAUUAUUGUCAUUUUGACAAAUGUGGCAUUUUCCAUUUGAUAACUUCAUUUUUUUUAAUCUUUCUUCAGUAUAACCAACAACACAUUAAAACACAGCAAAAUUGUCCGGUGAAGUUGCCAUAUUUGAUUGAUUUGCGAAGCAGUGGUCACCAUACAAUCGAUCAUACAACACAUGUAUUAUCAGGUCAAAUUAUUUAAACACUGGCUGACUAAACAGAGUCUAAAAAACGUUUACAUUUACAACAAGUAAAAAUAAAUCUUUUCCCGACUGUUAAUGGCUUCUUUACAGUAAAUAUGUUGGCUGUGAACUGAUCAAUAAAUUAGCCUUCAUUUACUACGAGUAAACGUCGGUAUAGUGUUGCAUCUUUUAUCUUCACGUAAGUUUUAUUUGUCCUUGCCGAUAUAAUGAUUAGAGCCAUUUCUAACUGAUGUUUACAGUUUUACUGGUAUGCCAUUGUUCCUGGUUAGGCAAGGAUUGAAUGUUUAUUUUCAUAUUAAACCUCGUCCUGUUCUUUAUGAAAUAAAAGUAACUUCAGGCUCUUGUCAAAAACAAGGAGACUAAAGAAGCUGGAUCAUUUAAUUUUGCAUUCAGAUAUAUUUUUUUCAUUAACUAUCCAAACUUGUAUGAUUCGGCUCCAUCAAUAUAGCCUCAAGAACUAAAAAUUAAAGAAACAACAGGUAUGGCUUUCUCGGACUAAUUUCAGACUCAUACCUCAAAUUUGACAAGAGUGGUCAUCUUAGUAUCAUGAUCUAUGACAAAGGAGACGA
rnacentral:lncRNA from 1 species